UUACGACCAUAUAAUGUUGAAACACCUGUUCCCCGUACGACCAACGAAGUUAAACAACGUCGAGCCGGGUCAGUACCAAGAUGGGUCAUCGACUGGGAAUACCAGGUGCUGUAA